rnacentral:misc_RNA from 1 species
UAAAUGGAUUCCAUAUUCUUCUCCUUGGAAAUGGAAAAGAAAAUGAAAGGGAACUAUAAAUGAACAAUUUACAAUCAACCAGGUAAAAAUGUCUAUAUUUUUCUUGGCUCACAGCUUGAGCAACUAAACAUACGAAAAGAACAAAUUAACUAGUAUAUAAAUUGAAAGUAUAAUUGAAUUUCAUAGUCAAUAAAUCACAGCUCGCUAAAGUAUACGUUAGGACUCAAG